CGGGACCUCAGGUCAGGCGGGGCUACCCGCUGAGUUUAA
rnacentral:rRNA from 4 species